AAUGCGUGUGAUGAUUACUUACACUUUUAAUGAUUUAUAUUGAUUACUAAUUACAUGCACUACCAACUGAAGCAUU